GACGAACGCUGGCGGCGUGCUUAACACAUGCAAGUCGAACGGAAAGGCCCUGCUUUCGUGGGGUGCUCGAGUGGCGAAAGGGUGAGUAACACGUGAGUAACCUGCCCUUGACUUUGGGAUAACUUCAGGAAACUGGGGCUAAUACCGGAUAGGAGCUCCUGCUGCAUGGUGGGGGUUGGAAAGUUUCGGCGGAUGGGGUUGGACUCGCGGCUUAUCAGCUUGUUGGUGGGGUAGUGGCUUACCAAGGCGUUGACGGGUAGCCGGCCUGAGAGGGUGACCGGCCACAUUGGGACUGAGAUACGGCCCAGACUCCUACGGGAGGCAGCAGUGGGGAAUAUUGCACUAUGGGCGGAAGCCUGAUGCAGCAACGCCGCGUGCGGGAUGACGGCCUUCGGGUUGUAAACCGCUUUCGCCUGUGACGAAGCGUGAGUGACGGUAAUGGGUAAAGAAGCACCGGCUAACUACGUG
rnacentral:rRNA from 1 species